AUAGGCAGCCAUAUUACCCUGCAGCCCAAGACUGGUUGCCCGCUAAGCAGCUAAGCAGGGCUGAGCCUGGUCAGUACCUGGAUGGGAGACCUCCUGGGGAAACUAGGUUGCUGCUGGAA
rnacentral:rRNA from 1 species